rnacentral:rRNA from 1 species
UUGCUCCUUGAUUCAGCGGCGGACGGGUGAGUAAUGCCUAGGAAUCUGCCUGGUAGUGGGGGACAACGUUUCGAAAGGAACGCUAAUAGCGCAUACGUCCUACGGGAGAAAGCAGGGGACCUUCGGGCCUUGCGCUAUCAGAUGAGCCUAGGUCGGAUUAGCUAGUUGGUGGGGUAAUGGCUCACCAAGGCGACGAUCCGUAACUGGUCUGAGAGGAUGAUCAGUCACACUGGAACUGAGACACGGUCCAGACUCCUACGGGAGGCAGCAGUGGGGAAUAUUGGACAAUGGGCGAAAGCCUGAUCCAGCCAUGCCGCGUGUGUGAAGAAGGUCUUCGGAUUGUAAAGCACUUUAAGUUGGGAGGAAGGGCAGUAAGCUAAUACCUUGCUGUUUUGACGUUACCGACAGAAUAAGCACCGGCUAACUCUGUGCCAGCAGCCGCGGUAAUACAGAGGGUGCAAGCGUUAAUCGGAAUUACUGGGCGUAAAGCGCGCGUAGGUGGUUUGUUA